rnacentral:lncRNA from 1 species
ACUGAAGAGCCUGAGUGAAAUCCCAGCCCAUUGCAUCCAAUCGUGAGACUCCCAUUAACUUCAUUAGCGCAGGAGUUUUGCCGCUGCACUCAGCAUGAAGUGAAAUCAAUGCGGCGCAAGGCAGCGGGAUGUGUAACAACAGAGAUGCUUGGUUGUCUUAUCUGCAGCUGGAGUGCCCGAGCCUCGGCUAUUUUCACUGAUGAAGUUUCAUGCUGCCACAUCCUCUGAUACACGGGAACAUUGGAAGUAUGAGUGAAUUAUUCACUGCUACAGCUGCUCGUUUUGUGCAGAGAGGAACUCUGGAGUGCUACCUCGUAGGGGCUUUGCAUCCAAAAUAGCCCCCUCUGCAGUUUUCCUCCUCAUCCAGAAGUGGCUAUAUGUAAGACACGGCAGAUAGCUGGCAUACAGGAAGUGUUAUUCAGCUUUCAUUCCAUACACAGACAGAAGAAAGAACAAAGCAAGGGUUAAAAAUAAGAAAUUUGGAGGAAAAGAAACUUCGAGGAAAGAAAUGAGCUAUACCCAUCCAGCUGUGCUAUCUGCUGCCCUGUCGGCAGGGAAUGAUGUAUUUUUGAGAAGGACGCGUGUGUAAAGAAACAGUGAUUGAAAACACAUGCGAAUGGAAAGGGAUUUUACCCAGCUCUCCCUCAGCCUGAGAAGAAAGCUGUCCAUUGCACUAAUUGCCACGCGAGCCCCAGAACUGUGUGGCGCUGCCAGGCUCUGAUCCCUCCCUGGAGAGCAGAGACGAAUGCAGAAGGACGGCGCGGGAGGUCAGGGGCAGCCAGCAAGAUCUUGCAGUCUCACAGUCUUUGGAUUUGCAGUAGCUAUAGAUGCUCACUUGAUGCUACGGCCGUCAGCACCAUGGACUUCCCUGCCUCCAGGAUGCAUGCAGUUGCCCAAAGGACUCUGGAGGGAUAUAUAUUAUAUAUAUACAAGAUAUACAUCACGGUCUAUAUUACAGCUGAAGGCAGAAAGAAAGUGUAAUGUCAACUGGGCUGGAUCAGAAUGUCAACAGGAAGGAUCAUGGCACAUCAGAGCAACCAUGUGGUGCUCGGAGAUGGCAUUUGUUGCAUCCACGGCAUUUCAGCUCGCCCAUCACUGCGCAUGGAAUUAAACCAGGAGAAGCCUUUUGGUGGCUCCAGCAGGUGCCUGCAGCACUGAGCACUGCCCAGCUGCAGACAGUUCCCCCCACGUGCCUAUUGCUGCCCCCGCCAUGGAGCCCCAGCUUCGUUCACGUCUUUAAACAGGAGGUGGCAGAGGCAGCUCAGUGCCCUGGAAGGUCAGGUCAGGCUUCAGGGCCUCCAGCUGCCUGAAAGCUGAACAGAAAUGAAAAGCUGUUGGUUAAGGAGAGAGCGCCUCGGGCUUCCCGCUGAGCCUGGCUGCAGCCCUUUAAUUAGGGUAAGCUAAUUACAUCUGACGGAGGAAAAGAGGCUGUCAAGUAACAUGGGAGGAACUCUUUUUGAUUCAGCAGAGAACAUUUUAACUGCAGGAGCCUCGCAGGCUGACAGGAAGCCGGUGUGUCUGGGAUCAGGAUGUACCAUCUCCUCGGGACCAUUCCCUCCCCGCUGGGGACAAGUCCCUUGUGGGAGCAACCUGUAUCCCACCCGCUGCCUGGGUCUGCAUCUGGAAUCAACCAACUGGGUUAUUUCAUAGGAUCAUUGGUACUGAGCUUUUCAGAAGGAGCUGACAGGGUGCUAAGGGCACCUCAGCCCCAUCUAGACCCAAGGGCCUGGGCUCCUCGGUUCCCAGGGUCAUCCUUGGCAAGCCCAAACCUCCCCGCCCUUCCUGCUGCUGAGAAGCUGGCUCAUUCUACCUGCCUGUGAGUUGUUUCCUAAAGCAGCCAAAUAAUUGCAGUGUCGCAGAAAAACCUACAGCCCUUAAACCCCAACAAAGUGGGGUUUGAAGAGCUGGCGAUCACAGAUAGUUAGCUAACGAGUGUUUACAGUGCCUGAUGAUAGUUGCUGGCACUAGGACAAGGGCAGUAAAAAGUGGAUUAGAUGAAGAUAAAUGUGAGACACAGGCAGAAACAAGUACUCCAGCAGAUGUGUGUGGAAAUUAAUGGGGUGGUGAUAAUAACAAAUUCUGAUUCGCCACACAGUAAAUGUGUCUCCUGAUAAUCAGUUUCUAGUACAAUACCAAGCUCCUAUGCAUGAAUCAGAAAUCCAAAUGAGAUGACAUCUCAGCAUUGAAAAUGCUUUGGGUAGAUACUGAAGAUCUUAAAGAAGACAGCUGGGAAAGUGGUGCUUAUUUUGUCCACUGCGGUCUUUCCACCCCCUCAAUAUUUUAUCUUUGAUCAUAGCAGAUCUGUGAUCCGGCCUCUUUACAAACACCAGGGGAUCUGUGGUCCAUGUUCUGCAACAGAGAUCCAUCUGAAGCAGAGCUGUGAGUCCCUGCAGUCCCCGUGGGCUCGCUCAUCCACUGAGCUGGGACAGGAGAGCUCUCACAUGGCACAAUGCUUGGCCAGAUGUGCUGUUAGACUUCAUGAGUUUAUGUUUGUAAAGAGAAAAUAGGAUGAAAGGCAUUACAAAAAUGCAAAAUAUGAUUUGUUAUGAUUUAAAAGCCAUUCACUUCUAUUAGUAUUAUUUUAAAAUAUUUCCACCUUGAAGACCUUUCCAGAUAAGGAUUCCUGCCCAUCUUUUCCAGUCCCAUUUUUUAAAGAAACAGAGAAGUUUGCAACCCUUUGGACAACAUCUCUUUGCUUUGCCCAUGCCAUGACGUGCUUCCCACAAAAAUAAUGUCAGAGUGCUUUCCUCAUCACAGAAUCACAGAAUCACAGGGGUUGGAAGGGAGAUAGUUGGAGAUAAUUGAGUCCAGCACCCUGCUAAAGAAGGUUGCUCAGGAAGGUGUCCAGGUGGGUCUUGAAUACCUCCAAAGAAGGAGACCCCAGAAUUGGCAGCCUGUUCCAGUGCUCUGUCACUGUGCUCAUCACUUAGGGGAAAUGAUCUGGAACAGAAAAAGCUUGUAGGCCUUUCUGAUUGUUUUUAACCCAGACCCUUGUCCAGAGUGCAGUGUGAUGGUGUAGGUCUGCAGUGCAGCUUUCUUGGCUGGAAAAUCAUUGAGUACAGACCCACUCAAAAUCACUAAGAACAGACCCAUUCACCUACCCUUCACUCCUUGCUCACUGUUUUCCAUCCCUGAAUCUCACUUUGCUGCUGCCUGCAUUAUGAGCAUAAAAUUAGGAUGCAGCUCUGUAUGCCAAGGCCUCGAAAAGGUCCAGCUUUGCAGUAGGAGUAGUGCUGUCAACACCCUUCCCAGUGCAGCAGAGGUUUGGGCAGUGAAAUUCAGUUUGCAAAGGCCCACGUGUCCAUUUUGCCCAUUUGUGUGGAGUUCCAGCUGUAGCAGGGCUGGGAGAAGAGGAGGAAAGGAAGCUCUGAGACUGAUGUCACUGCUGCGUACUGUGAGAAUGACCCACUUCAUCACCCGCAUUUGGUAUUUCUGGCCCAGUCCCCAGAGUAAGACUGGGUGGGGUGGGAAUAAACCCUAUGGACAUCACUGAGCACCUGCCAGACACCAGCAAUUUGGGAAACCAGGGAGCACUAAAGACACAGAAAACGGAAUUUAUGGAUUUCUGUGUUCCACCCUAAAACAAACGUGGUAUUUCCAAUGGCAGCCGACACUCCAUGAUCACUGUAUUUGAAGCUUAUAUCGUAACGUUUGGGUUGGGCUUUUCGUGAGAAAGUCUCCUGUACUUGAAAGAUAAAAACCAAAGCCCCACUGCAGCAGAACCAAACCACCAAAUCAAUCACUACAAAGCCAUUAAAUACACUUAUGGAAAAGUUUUCCAUAGCAGCACUCCAUGCCCUGGCCCCAGGCUCCCCGGGGCCUGGUAUCCAUGGCAUUUCUCCAUGAAGAUGUGGCUCUAGGAAGGCCUGCCAGCGCCUGGCGAGGGACGGCCGAGCCCAGCUGAACGUGUGUAUUUUCCCCGUCACCGCCCCUUCUGCACAUGACCUGUUAAAAGGAUUAAAUUAAAAGAAUUCCCAGAGCUAAUCUAGUGAUGAUAUUAUGAGAGACAGGAGCUCAAGCGCAUCCCGGGGAUGUCUGAUCGGGUUGUCUAGGAUGUAUUAUUUAUGGGGCCAUCUGCUUUAGACAGGGAUUGAAGUUUGAGCGGGAGGAGGGUUUUGAUGGAGUUCAGCAGCUUUACUGGGACAAGGGGGUUGUAGAGUAUUCCCUCCCCAGAAAAUAAAUGCAGAUGUAGGUGUUUGUGGAAUAAAUCUGGCACCAGAGUACCCAUGUGUUGGUGCCUUCACUAAAAUACUGCACGGCCUGCAGAGCCCUCAGGAGCCCCCGCAGAAGGGACGUUGGCAGUGCAGUGUUUUAGCAGGAGGGAGAGAGCUGCACAACGUCAGGGCUCCAGCCGGAGUUAUUGGUACACAGGCUGAGAAAUGCAAUGGCAUAAACAGAUCUGCGGCUGGAAUGUGAGGAGGCAGCGGGGGCAGCCAACAGAGGCCGCGUCCGCAGGAAGACAGGAAGAAUUUCCUCAAAAUAGCCUGUUCAGUUACUGGGCAGCCCAGUAAAUGUGGGAUCUGUGUACAGCUAUUACAGGCAACGCGGAGCCAAAUUGCAAACGUGAAAAAUAAACUGUCUCUCUUUCUGAUUUAGGCUGACGUGCCAUUUAAAUAAUAUGGGCCAAGAAAUGUGAAAUAAGAUAUCUCAAUGAGCGGGACGUGUGUCCCUUCCCUUCCUGCCCAUCUCCUGCGGUGCCAGAAGCACGCUGGCUUUUUUUUCCCCAUCACAGUUGCCUCAUCAGAUUUCUAACUGUCAGUGUGCCCCCAGGCUAACAGUGUCCGUGUGUUUCUUGGUGAUCGGGAAUGAAACUUAUCCCAAAGCUUUGGUAGGGGAGGUGCUGCUAAACCUUUACAUGGAAAUUUGCUGGAAGCUACCUGUCAGCUUGCUGCCCAUUCUCCAGUAAUUCAGACUAAUGACUCGUCAGCUCCUUUUUUCCUUACUUUUACAUCUGUCUAGAAGUCGUUUCUGCUCCAGUUGCCGGCUUAAUAACACAAUGCUAUCUACCAAGGAAAGUCUCACCCAGUCGUACUUGAUUUGUCUCAUGAUGGUGCUCAUAAUCCUUAUUUAAUUAGUUAUUAGCAAAAAAAAUCCCAAAAAACAAACAAACAAAAAAACUCUGGGCAACUGGUUCCAGUGCUUGGACUACAACUGGAGCAUUGCUUAAGAACUGUUGUUUCACACAGGAAACUUUGAUUGUGAAAAUGCAGAAACAGGUCACAGACUACAGAAAAGUCUGGUGUGUGCAAAACCAGAAAUACAUUUAUGCAGCAUUCAUCUUUAUCUGCAGUUUGGGAUUCUGUAUGGCAGAAUGUAUCUCCCUGCUUUGCUACCUGUCUGUGAUUUGUCUAAAC